rnacentral:tmRNA from 1 species
GGGGCCGACCAGGUUUCGACGUGGGUUACAAAGCAGUGCAGGGCAUACCGAGGGCUAGUCACCUCGUAAAUAAACUAGAACAAGUAUAGUCGCAAACGACGAAACUUACGCUCUAGCCGCUUAAUCCCGGCUGGACGCUGCACCGAAGGGUCUCUCGGUCGGGCGAAAAAACAUGCGAAAGCAUGUUGAGUGAAUAACUCUCGCAGCAGCGUCAUAUAGAGAGACUCGUGUUGUAUCGGGUUACUUGAUACAACAUUAAAUCCAAGGUAACUCGCCUGCUGUUUGCUUGCUCGUUGGUGAGCAUCAGGUUAAAUCAAACAACACAGCUAAGUAUGUAGAACUGUCUGUGGAGGGCUUGCGGACGCGGGUUCGAUUCCCGCCGGCUCCACCA